UUCUAUUAUUGCUGUUUUGUAGGAUACUAGCCUUGAUUCUUCAGUUUGUUAUCAAAAGGAAGACAGGGAUACUAGUCAAAAUUGCCCGCACAGGAUUUGGAGCCUUUCACAAUAUUCACAUCACCAUAAAGGAAGGUCUACAAGUGGAAAUUGACAAGGUCUGGUUGUCAAGCUGUUAUGUCAAUGAGGAGAUCAGGCAGCCAGUUGUGUUGUGUAUGGGUGAGGUUAGAAUUCAGGCCAACACUAAUGGGUCACGUGACAGACCAAACACAACUUCUCCUCAUCCAUCUAGGGUGCCGUCAAAACAGUUUGCAUUGCCAAAAUUUGCUGCCUACCUUCAGCAUUUCGGAUUGAAGAUUCAGAGCCUGACUGUAAUGUUGUUGAAAACAAUGGUAGCCGAUUGUCUUAUUCACAUUGAGGGACACGAACUGGGGCUUGAUAUCUCAUGCAUUGAGGACAGUUUGCAGUUUAUCAUCAAUGCUGGAAGUGUUAACUGUAGAGCCUUGAGGAGUGUAACACAGGUAGCUAUUAUUUUACUUUUAAAAGAUAUAUUCGGAA